rnacentral:rRNA from 1 species
GACGAACGCUGGCGGCGUGCCUAAUACAUGCAAGUCGAACGCUUCUUUCCUCCCGAGUGCUUGCACUCAAUUGGAAGGAGGAGUGGCGGACGGGUGAGUAACACGUGGGUAACCUACCCAUCAGAGGGGGAUAACACUUGGAAACAGGUGCUAAUACCGCAUAACAGUUUAUGCCGCAUGGCAUAAGAGUGAAAGGCGCUUUCGGGUGUCGUUGAUGGAUGGACCCGCGGUGCAUUAGCUAGUUGGUGAGGUAACGGCUCACCAAGGCCACGAUGCAUAGCCGACCUGAGAGGGUGAUCGGCCACACUGGGACUGAGACACGGCCCAGACUCCUACGGGAGGCAGCAGUAGGGAAUCUUCGGCAAUGGACGAAAGUCUGACCGAGCAACGCCGCGUGAGUGAAGAAGGUUUUCGGAUCGUAAAACUCUGUUGUUAGAGAAGAACAAGGACGUUAGUAACUGAACGUCCCCUGACGGUAUCUAACCAGAAAGCCACGGCUAACUACGUG